CAUGCUCAUAAAACCUCCAAUUCCACUUUCAAAGUAAUGGUAGCCGGCAAGGGUCUCAAUUAUUUCUCCUGUGGCUAUGACAAUACUAUGAUGAAAGCCACUCAGGAAAGAAAGGUUUGACCUGGGCUCCCAGCCUAGGUUUCAGUCCAUUGUGACAGGACAAUCAUAGCAGUAGCAGAAGCGGCAGCAGCAGUCAGGAAGCAAACAAACCAACUUAUCAUCGAUCUUUGCUCCUUCUUACGAACUCCGGGAUCCCAGUCUGGGGCUGGUGUCACCCACAGUGGCACUUCAAUUAACCUAACCACGGUAAGAUCUUCCGGUGACUGCACACCUCGCUAAGGGGACCACCACCACUAGGCGCACCCUUCCACAGGCAGCCUUUUGCUCUACUGGAACCACAACUCAAACACACUCUCCCUUUGCCAAAGAUGUCUCUGAUCCAUGGGGCUGCAACAGCUACAUGAAGCUGGACAAUUUACAAAGAAUCUUUAUUUCUUAGUUCUGAAGGCCUGAAGUCCAAGGUCAAAGGGCUAUACCUCCAGCAGGAACAGACCUUGCUGACCAUCUCCUAUCAGGAAAUCAAAGGACCACAGAAGAGGGACAAACCCACUCUUCUGAACCUACUCCCUUGGUAACACAGCAUGAAUCUGUGCAGAAGACGGAGCUUAGGGGCCUAUCCACACAGCUGCAACAGGAAUUCCUCUCCGAAUCGUAACUGAGAUAACUAAAAUAGAAGAUAAUCCUGAUUAGGAAGCUGUUGUUGGAGUGAGAUGUUCGGACAGCCCAUCUCAGUCUUGGUGGACAAAGUUGGUAGAAGGAAAGUAAACCUGAAGGAGACAGACUCUCACCUCAAACCUCUACCCUAGAAUCAAAAUAAAAGCGCAACAGCGGCGUUUACGGGGAAAUGGAUGGGUGAGAUGGCAGAGAGCCCAUGUGCUGGGCAGGGUCCUGGUCAGCGGGAAGGUGCCUAAGCACAUCUGACCUCCUUGACCAGAAGGGCUGGGUCCCCAAUGGGUUAGAGGGAGGCAGAAAGCCAAAGAUGGAGGGAGCGGGUCAGGGGAUGGACUGAAAUCAAUCCUCAGAAGAAAUACGCUGUGCAAGUUAAAAGUAAAAAGAAGACAAUUAGGCAAGUCAUCAUAAACGUGAGAAACCCUGUAGUAUUUGAAGCAAAAUUCAUAGCAAAAAGCAGAAUCAAAAUAUAGAGUUCAGAAUAGAUAAACAGAAAUAACAAUAGACUGACUGUACAAUCUUUCAAAAGUUAAAUAACAAAAUUUAUUGUUUACCCAUCACAUGUAAACUAAAUAACCCUUCACUUGAAGCAUCCACAGGGGUCAGCACUUGCUGUCAAGCCUGAAGCCCUGAGUUCGAUUCCCAGAACCCACAUGGUAAAACGAAAUUACUCUCACAAGUUGUCCUCUUACAGACUCUAAAGCCCCAGCAGGCAAUCGCACUUUGGGAGACAUGUAUCCCAGGAAGGUACAGCAGUCCCAAGCCACAUGCCUGCCAUCCGGACACUGUGCUUACUGUCUUGUUAAGUACUAAUGAGUUUUGAAGAAACGCAUGCAUGUUGGCACACUGGCUCAUACACAUUUAAUUUCUGUCCCACAUAUACCAGAUUUCUAAGAACCCCUACUACCACUUGACACAUGCCUGCACUGAAUGUCAGACCUGCUAAGAAGCCUCCAUUUUGCCGGGAUACUGAGGAAGGAUGAUGGCAGGCCUACUGACCAGUGAGCGUGGUUCUGCUACGACGAAGGCAUGCUGGUGUUGAAGCUACAAGUCUUGAGCACUGUUUCCCAAGCCCCCAGUAAGUUCUAAUGAGCAGCCAAGAUGGAGAACGGAUCCAGCUGAGAUCAGCAGAGAACUGGUAUCAACUGUCUUCUCAACCACGUCCACAACAGUCCUCCCGCCACAAGAGCCGAGCAGCAAAUUCCACAGAGCUACAUCAAGGUCUGUACUCAACACGAUCUAAUACCCAUAUUAGAGUUCACUCACAUGUGGGUUUCAAUACACAUCCAAAAACUCUUAAAAGCAUAGAAUUUCAAGUUAAUACGGUAUGUCUUAAAAAUUAGUUAUACAAAUUAACAUUUUCAUUGGUUAAGAUAUCUCAAUUAGCUUUACAUUGACCACAGUCCAUAGAUAUUUGAUUUCCAGCCUGGUUAACAGCUUAAUGCCUAUGUGCAGAAACAAUUUAAUUAGUCAUCGUGGUACACUUAGCACUGAGUCCCCUGUCUCUGGGAAUUACCUCACUCAUAUAGUUCAGCUGUUUAUUAUUCCCAAACCACCAGAGGUUUUAAAACUUCAAAGUUGUUAGUCUCUAGUUAUUGCCAACAAUUACAUUUCAUUCACCUCAAACUUCAUAAAAAUCUCCUGGCUCAACUACAGCUUUAGAUAAAAUAAGUUAAAAUAUAAUAAAAAUUAAUUUCACCAAGUAAAUAUAUUGUGUCUAUGUGUGUAUAUAUAUACACACAGACAUCGGACACAAAAAAUUAAAAAGCAGCUUUUAUUAUUAAGUUUUAGCUUUUGGAUAUCUGCUAUCUAAUUAUUAAAAUGGGAAAGAAAAUAUCAAUAAGUGUUUAAAGUACAACCUACUACUGACUGCUGAGCACACUAGGAAAAAGCCUAGAACUGUAAGACCUGAGGUGCCAGAAAGUAAGAGCUGGUGUUUCAAUGGUAAAACUCCGACAGGAAUCAGCUGUUAUCAAGUUCAUAUCCUAGUCCUUGAGAAAAUAAGUGAGCAGAGGAUGAGGAAGGGAAGCAGGAAAGUACACUGACAUACAUGUGUAGCUGUCAGAAUGAAGCUCACUACUCUGGAUGCUAACUUAAUUUUUUUUUAUUAACAGCAGCUGUCCCAUUGAAACUUAUUUUGGAAAAAAACAAAACAGACAAACAAACCAACGGUUCUGACGCAAAGAAAUGACACAGCCUCCUCCAUCUGAUCUACCAAAUGCUCUUCUAAACACAAGGGGGUUGGGGAGGAGGGCUGCAGUGCCUUUCAAGCCACCACAUCUUAAAGAUCACUUACACAGCCAAAUGUGCUGGCGCACAGAAGCAGACUGAUCCUAGUGAGUUUAAGGCCAGCCAGGACAACACUUUACAAACAAACAAACAAACAAACAAACAAUAAAACCACAUACACCACCUACACUUACCAAAAACGUUCAAAAACUACUACUCAAGGGAGAUGCUCACCAGUUACGAGCUCAUGCUGCUGUUUCAGAACACCCGAGUUUGGCUCCUGCACCCACUUGGAGUCUCACAUCUGUGACUCUUCCUGGCCUUAUACACACACUCACGCACACACGCGCGCGCGCACACACAGACAAGCGGACACAUACUUUUAAAAAAACAAAAUAAAUUCUUUUUUAAUGCUA